UACAGAGGUCUCAAGCGUUGUUCGGAUUCAUUGGGCGUAAAGGGCGCGUAGGCGGUCAGCACAAGUCAGUUGUGAAAUCUCCGGGCUUAACUCGGAAAGGUCAACUGAUACUGUGCGACUAGAGUGCGGAAGGGGCAACUGGAAUUCUCGGUGUAGCGGUGAAAUGCGUAGAUAUCGAGAGGAACACCUGCGGCGAAGGCGGGUUGCUGGGCCGACACUGACGCUGAUGCGCGAAAGCCAGGGAGCGAACGGG
rnacentral:rRNA from 1 species